rnacentral:rRNA from 1 species
GCGGAGGAAAAGAAACCAACAGGGAUUGCCCUAGUAACGGCGAGUGAAGCGGCAACAGCUCAAAUUUGAAAUCUGGCUUCGGCCCGAGUUGUAAUUUGCAGAGGAAGCUUUAGGCGCGGCACCUCCUGAGUCCCCUGGAACGGGGCGCCACAGAGGGUGAGAGCCCCGUAUAGUUGGAUGCCUAGCCUGUGUAAAGCUCCUUCGACGAGUCGAGUAGUUUGGGAAUGCUGCUCAAAAUGGGAGGUAAAUUUCUUCUAAAGCUAAAUACCGGCCAGAGACCGAUAGCGCACAAGUAGAGUGAUCGAAAGAUGAAAAGCACUUUGAAAAGAGGGUUAAAUAGCACGUGAAAUUGUUGAAAGGGAAGCGCUUGUGACCAGACUUGCGCCGGGCUGAUCAUCCGGUGUUCUCACCGGUGCACUCUGCCCGGCUCAGGCCAGCAUCGGUUCUCGCGGGGGGAUAAAGGCCCUGGGAACGUAGCUCCUCCGGGAGUGUUAUAGCCCGGGGCGCAAUGCCCUCGCGGGGACCGAGGUUCGCGCUCUGCAAGGAUGCUGGCGUAAUGGUCAUCAGCGACCCGUCUUGAAACACGGACCAAGGAGUCAAGGUUUUGCGCGAGUGUUUGGGUGUAAAACCCGCACGCGUAAUGAAAGUGAACGUAGGUGAGAGCUUCGGCGCAUCAUCGACCGAUCCUGAUGUUCUCGGAUGGAUUUGAGUAGGAGCGUUAAGCCUUGGACCCGAAAGAUGGUGAACUAUGCUUGGAUAGGGUGAAGCCAGAGGAAACUCUGGUGGAGGCUCGCAGCGGUUCUGACGUGCAAAUCGAUCGUCAAAUCUGAGCAUGGGGGCGAAAGACUAAUCGAACCAUCUAGUAGCUGGUUACCGCCGAA